rfam:Singulisphaera acidiphila DSM 18658, complete genome.
UGCGCUGUAGAGCACCGGUAGCUCGCCAGGCUCAUAACCUGGAGGUAGGUGGUUCGAUUCCGCCCGGCGCAA